UACGUAGGGGCCAAGCGUUGUCCGGAUUUAUUGGGCGUAAAGCGCGCGCAGGUGGUUUCUUAAGUCUGAUGUGAAAGCCCACGGCUCAACCGUGGAGGGUCAUUGGAAACUGGAGGACUUGAGUACAGAAGAGGAAAGCGGAAUUCCACGUGUAGCGGUGAAAUGCGUAGAGAUGUGGAGGAACACCAGUGGCGAAGGCGGCUUUCUGGUCUGUAACUGACGCUGAGGCGCGAAAGCGUGGGGAGCAAACAGG
rnacentral:rRNA from 1 species